GGCGCUAUAGUGUAGUGGUUAUCACUUGAGAUUCUGACUUUCGCUCCUCGCGAUCGUUUGAACUUUCUCAUAACCCAGGUUCGAGCCCUGGUAGCGCCU